AGGUAGUGUAGUGCUCACUACAUGUUGGGAAUCGGGGUUUUGAGCUUUCCUCUCUCUCUACUAAAACCCUUCACCAAAACCACCAUCAGCAGCAACAAGCUAAAACCCCACCACCGCUUCUGCAGCUGCUACAUCGAAACCCUAGCCAUGAAAACCCUAGACGAAGCUGACGUCGGGAUCCUUUGCUACAUCUCCAAGCUCCCGGGCUUCCGUGGCGUUUUGAAACAAAGGUAUUCGGAUUUUAUUGUGAACGAAGUUGAUUGCAAUGGAAAUGUUGUUCACCUGACAUCAUUUGAUCUGCCUCCGGAGAAAAUAGAUGAAAAAGAAAGCAAAAUCCUUGAUUCCACACCGAAUGAUAGUCACAAUGCAGAAAUCGAAUCCUUUAGAUCUCUCGCCGGUGAUGCUGAUGCCGAAUCCUUGAAAGGAUUUCUUGAACGGAUCCAAUGUGGUGUUGAGAACGAUAUUUCUCCAAUUGUUCUUUCUGCAGAUGCCAACAAAUCCCAUCGGACGGAAGUUCAUAAUUUCUUCAAGGCAAAUUUCAAGUUCUUGGUCACUGACACAGUUGAAGGACCGGAUGCUAGUUCAAAAUGCAUUCGGGUGAGGUUUUCCUCAGGGGACCAACGUGAUAGAGGAAGGAACUCUAAGAAACGGAAAGAAAGGGGAGGUUGUGAAGAUUCCAAGGAUAACAAGCCUUUCGACAGCAGAGGUUCGAAUGAUUGGCCCAAUGACACUGGCAAAUUCCUUAGGUUUCAUCUUUACAAGGAGAAUAAGGACACGCAAGAGGCUUUGGGAUUGAUAGGAAAGAUGCUAGGUAUCCAGCAACGGUCAUUUGGAUUUGCUGGUACCAAAGACAAACGUUCAAUAUCAACUCAAAGGGUUACUGUUUUCAAGCAGCAGGCGAAAAGAUUAGCUGCUCUGAAUGACAGGUUGAUUGGUAUCAAAGUAGGAGACUUUUGUUAUGUACAAGAAGAACUUGUUCUUGGAAAGCUCUUGGGAAAUCGAUUCACAAUUACUUUGAGAGGAGUUGUUGCAGAUUCCGAAGAUGUUAUUAAAGCAACUGCAGAUGACUUGGGUAGGAAUGGGUUUAUCAAUUACUUUGGUUUGCAGCGUUUUGGAAGUGGGUCGGUGCCAACUCACUUCGUUGGAGCGGCAUUACUUCGAGGAGAAUGGAAAAUUGCUGUAGGCUUGAUUCUUGAUCCAAGAGAAGGGGAGCGUGACAUCGUCAGGGAGGUACGGGAAUAUUACAAGGAAAGUGGGGAUAUCGAGGGGACUCUAAGACGAUUGCCCCGCUAUUUGGUUGCUGAAAGAGCUAUACUUCAGUGUUUAAAGAAAUGCCCUGGUAACUACUUACAGGCCCUGAAGGCUAUACCAAGAACUAUGAGAAUGAUGUAUGUGCACAGUUACCAAAGUUACCUGUGGAACCAUGCGGCAAGUAUGAGGGUGCAGAAAUAUGGGAAUGGCCAAGUCAUGCUGGGAGAUUUGGUAUAUUGUAAAGGAAGUUCCCCUGAAAAGAUUCAAGAGGUUGUUAACAUUAAACCUGAAGAUUGUAGCUGCAAUGAUGCGCUUGAUUACAGUAAUCUAGAUGAGAUACCUGAAGCAGCACUUCUUGAAGAAAAAGUUCAUUCUGUGAAAGCUGUUAAUGCUGAGGAUCUACUUACGGGUGAUUAUACAGUUAAUGACAUCAUACUUCCUUUGCCUGGUUCAAGAAUAAUCUAUCCAAUGAAUGAUAUAGCCAACGUAUAUCAUGAUUUGGCAAAGAAGGAUCGUAUUAGCUUGACAGAGAGCAUACACAGUGUGAAGGAAUUUUCAAUUACCAGUAUGACGGGAGGUUACAGGCGAGUCUUCCAGCAGCCGAUUGAUUUUGAAUGGGAAGUGCUCAGGUAUACUGAUUGCAAUGUAUCCUUGGCGGAGACAGAUUUGGACAUUAUUGCUAAAUCAAGACCUGCCAAUAUAAUUGAAGAGCCUUUUGCUGAUGGAAACGAGCCCAAGACUCUUUCCAACAACUGUGUGAAUGAAUUGGAGAAUUUAGGGAACAGGAGAAUGAGUUUGGCUGGUGAUCAUGAGGCUAAGAAUGAAAUAGAGAAGUUGCCACAAGUAGAGUCCAUUUGUAGCUCUGAUGCUCAGCCUCCCCAGAUGGCGUUGAAAUUAGGCUUCACCUUGCCAGCAUCCAGCUAUGCCACAAUGGCCAUAAGGGAGCUGCUGAAAUCGUCCACCUCAGCUGCUUAUCAGAAGACACUAAACCCUUGAAAGCAGCUGCCGGUCCUAAUGUUGCAUUGAGGGCCAUGGCACACUUAGAGUGGAUGAUCCAAUCAUAGUUUCUGGUCUCUGUUUUGGCUUUGUUUUCGGAAGUGUCCUCAGGAGAUGGUACAGGGAUGGAGCUGGUAGGACGAUGUAUGAAUCUGGACUGUCCAUCAAGUCGACCCAUCAUUCAAAAUUCACACUUGCUGGAUAGUCCUUGUCAUCAAACAAACAAAUGUGUUUAGAUGACACUAAAAACAUGUAUAGGGUUGAGAUUGAUCGAGAAAUUGUGCUGAAAGUCAUUGGUAGGCUUAUUAGUUUUGUUUUUAAUUGUGGGCCAUCCACGAGAGGGCCUACUAAAUAAAUGGCUCUGAUUCAUUCACUUCCCUCCCCUCUAAGGUGAAGAAGGGGCUCUAUCACAUUCUGGUUCCACUGCUUUAACAGUA